UGGAGAGAAGGCUAUGACAAACCUCAGAAGAACUCUAUAUACAGGUAUCCACUGCUAGUUAUUACCAUCUUCUUUUUAUUGGUCUCGAUACAUGACAGCUUUAGGCUGAUAAUAUUUUGUCAUAUGCAUAUGGUCUCAUCAGAAACUGCAAAAGAACACAUUAACAGAUGCAAUUCAUAAAAAUGUUCCAGGUGUCCUGCGUAAUGAAAUAGCUUGGUUUGAGAAACCUCAGAAUGAUGCUGGUUCACUUACUUCGCGGAUUGUAAGUGAUACCUCCAUGGUCAAAGCCAUAAUUUCUGAUCGUAUGUCUGUAAUCGUGCAAUGCAUCUCCUCAAUACUGAUUGCAACAAUAGUAAGCUUAGUUGUCGAUUGGAGAAUGGCUCUGGUAGCUUGGGCU
rnacentral:lncRNA from 1 species